rnacentral:rRNA from 1 species
GUGAGGAAUCUUGCGCAAUGGGGGCAACCCUGACGCAGCCACGCCGCGUGGGUGAAGAAGGCCUUCGGGUCGUAAAGCCCUGUCAGGUGGGAAGAAUCGCAGGUCGGUGAAUAAUCGGCUUGUCUGACGGUACCACCAAAGGAAGCACCGGCUAACUCCGUGCCAGCAGCCGCGGUAAUACGGAGGGUGCAAGCGUUGUUCGGAAUUACUGGGCGUAAAGCGCGUGUAGGCGGCUUGGUAAGUCGGAUGUGAAAUCCCUCGGCUUAACCGAGGACGUGCAUCCGAUACUGCUAGGCUUGAGUCUCGGAGAGGGAAGUGGAAUUCCCGGUGUAGAGGUGAAAUUCGUAGAUAUCGGGAGGAACACCAGUGGCGAAGGCGACUUCCUGGACGAAGACUGACGCUGAGACGCGAAAGCGUGGGGAGCAAACAGGAUUAGAUACCCGUGUAGUCC